UACGGGGGGGGCGAGCGUUGUUCGGAAUUACUGGGCGUAAAGGGUUUGUAGGUGGUCUGCUAAGUCAGACGUGAAAUCCCUCAGCUUAACUGGGGAACUGCGUCUGAUACUGGCGGACUUGAGGACAGGAGAGGAACGCGGAAUUCCAGGUGUAGCGGUGAAAUGCGCAGAUAUCGGGAGGAACACCAGCGGCGAAGGCGGCACUCUGGGCUGGAACUGACGCUGAGGAGCGAAAGCGUGGGUAGCAAACAGG
rnacentral:rRNA from 1 species